UGGGGAAUAUUGGACAAUGGGGGGAACCCUGAUCCAGCCAUGCCGCGUGUGUGAAGAAGGCCUUAUGGUUGUAAAGCACUUUAAGCGAGGAGGAGGGUACUGGUAUUAAUACUACCAGGUACAGGACGUUACUCGCAGAAUAAGCACCGGCUAACUCUGUGCCAGCAGCCGCGGUAAUACAGAGGGUGCGAGCGUUAAUCGGAUUUACUGGGCGUAAAGCGUGCGUAGGCGGCUAAUUGAGUCGGAUGUGAAAUCCCCGAGCUUAACUUGGGAAUUGCAUUCGAUACUGGUUAGCUAGAGUGUGGGAGAGGAUGGUAGAAUUCCAGGUGUAGCGGUGAAAUGCGUAGAGAUCUGGAGGAAUACCGAUGGCGAAGGCAGCCAUCUGGCCUAACACUGACGCUGAGGUACGAAAGCAUGGGGAGCAAACAGG
rnacentral:rRNA from 1 species